rnacentral:rRNA from 1 species
CCUACGGGCGGCUGCAGUAGGGAAUCUUUCACAAUGGGCGAAAGCCUGAUGGAGCAACGCCGCGUGCAGGAUGAAGGCCUUCGGGUUGUAAACUGCUUUUAUAAGCGAGAAAUAUGAUGGUAACUUAUGAAUAAGGAUCGGCUAACUACGUGCCAGCAGCCGCGGUCAUACGUAGGAUCCGAGCAUUAUCCGGAGUGACUGGGUGUAAAGAGUUGCGUAGGUGGCAUAAUAAGUAGCUAGUGAAAUCGGGUGGCUCAACCAUUCAGACUAUUAGCUAAACUGUUAAGCUCGAGACCGUUAGGGUUAACUGGAAUUUCUAGUGUAGGAGUGAAAUCCGUAGAUAUUAGAAGGAACACCAAUAGCGUAGGCAGGUUACUGGGACGGUUCUGACACUAAGGCACGAAAGCGUAGGGAGCAAACGGGAUUAGAUACCCUUGUAGUC